rnacentral:rRNA from 1 species
GAGAGAGACAUGCGCGCAUAUCAAUAAGCGGAGGAAAAGAAACUAACAAGGAUUCCCCUAGUAACGGCGAGUGAAGCGGGAAGAGCUCAAAUUUGAAAUCUUAAAGGGUUUCCCUUUACGAAUUGUAGUUUAAAGAAGUGUUUUCUGUUGAGGUUUUGGUAAAAGUUCUUUGGAAUAGGACAUCAUAGAGGGUGAGAAUCCCGUAUUUGACCUUUACUUUCAACUUUGUGAUACACUUUCAAAGAGUCGGAUUGUUUGGGAAUGCAGUCCAAAAUGGGUGGUAAAUUUCAUCUAAAGCUAAAUAUUGGCGAGAGACCGAUAGCGAACAAGUACCGUGAGGGAAAGAUGAAAAGAACUUUGAAAAGAGAGUUAAACAGUACGUGAAAUUGUCAAAAGGGAAGCGUUUAACACCAGUGUUGUUUUUCUGAAAAUCAAUUAAAGAACUGUUUAUGCUAAGUUGUUUAGACUUUAUCAGCUAACUGUUUAGUUUUGAGCUUUUCUUUAAUGCACUUUUCAGUUAACAAGUCAACAUCAAUUUCUUUUGCUGUAAAAAAGCUUGAGGAAGGUGGCUUGAGAUUCGUCUUAAGUGUUUAUAGCCUCUUGCCUAUGCAGUCGGAGAGAUUGAGGUCUGCAGCGUAGAUCCUUCGGGGCUAAAUGCAUUUGUGCUAAGUUAUAGCAUUUUAUAGACAACUUGUUGACUAUGAUUUGUCUUGUAGCUUACUCGCUUAUGUUAUUUUACCUACGCUUAGGAUGUUGACGCAUGAGAUAUACGC